AAAGUACUCUCUCCGUCCCAAAAUUCUUGUCUUAGAUUUGCCUAGAUACGGAUGUAUCAAGUCACAUUUUAGUAUUAGAUACAUCUGUAUCUAGACAAAUCUAAGACAAGAAAUUUGGGACAGAGGGAGUAGUUG
rnacentral:pre_miRNA from 1 species